GCCAUAUUAAAAGCAACUGCAAGGUGGCCGGAUAUUAGAAAACAGAAAGUAGCGAGCAAUUUCAGCAAUUAAAUUAGUCAUGGCCUGGGCUAAAAGAACCAUGUCGGAUAUAUUUUACGUUAAAUAACUCGUACGAGAUCUGGUAUAUUGAUUUAAAGAAAUGUUCCUCCUGGCUUGGGUUUAUUUGCUGCUGCUGCUUGAUGGGCCCCUCCAAGUCAAAUCAAAUAAUAUUUCGAGUUAUUUAAGAGUUCACCACCAUCAGCCAUGGAAUGGUAAGCAUUCUGGUCGCUCAAUACCGAGUUAUGUAAAUAUUUUCGCUGGCGAACAUCACGUGUUUGGCAAUGAUACUUCUGAUGCUCAGGAUCUGCUCGAUCUCCACAAAAAUGAGUUCGGACGUAUGCCACGCCAAAUUAAGAGUGCUUCAUGAGUAAAAGUAAAAGAGUAGAGAGUAA